rnacentral:snoRNA from 1 species
GGCCAAUGAUGAGAAGAGCAUGAUGAUUGAACAUCUAGAGAUGCACAGCUAUCGCUGACUCAACCUGAUCGAUAAUAUCCAGACCCACUGUAAUCUUGAUGUUAGUCAUUGAAUUUUGGACUAUCAUUGUAAGGCCGGUGGGACAUCAAAUGGUGCAGUUGACAACUUGGUAAUCUGCAUUGUCAAGUUCUUGAUGCUAUGAUCCAAUCUGCACUGACAUGCUACUGGUUACAAAAUUAUGAGGUCUUCGCUGGUACAUAAAUGGAAAUUGUUUUCCAGCAGUUUUCAUUAUCUGUUGAGGUGAUGGUCAUCAUCAUUUUGUAGCCAGUGAAUCUGGAUGAUCAGAUGUGAUAGUUUUGCAUCCUAAGUUCAUGAUUUUUCUUUAGUAAUCUGAGGCCC